rnacentral:rRNA from 1 species
AUUGAACGCUGGCGGCAGGCCUAACACAUGCAAGUCGAACGAGUGGCGGACGGGUGAGUAAUGUCUGGGAAACUGCCUGAUGGAGGGGGCUAACUACUGGAAACGGUAGCUAAUACCGCAUACCAUCGGAUGUGCCCAGAGGGGAGUAGCUAGUAGGUGGGGUAAAGGCUCACCUAGGCGACGAUCCCUAGCUGUGUUGACAGGAUGACCAGCCAACCUGGAACUUAGACACGGUCCAGACUCCUACGGGAGGCAGCAGUGGGGAAGAUUGCACAAUGGGCGAAAGCCGGAUGCAGCCAUGCCGCGUGUAUGAAGAAGGCCUUCGGGUUGUAAAGUACUUACAGCGGGGAGGCGUUACCCGCAGAAGAAGCACCGGCUAACUCCGUGCCAGCAGCCGCGGUAAUUC